AAUAGGCAAGAGGUGAAGGAUGCGGCCUUAGCUUCAGAUUGGGUUUUGGAAUCCUCAGAACAUGAAGAGGUUCUAGGGACCAGGAAGAAAAGUAUAGGAAGUGAGGGAAGCUUCCAGACUGAAAAUUGUCUCUGUGACCGUGUUCCCUCCUGCGCCCACUAAAAAAGACCCACGUAGGUUGGGGAUUUAGCUCAGUGGAGAGCGCUUGCCUAGGAAGUGCAAGGCCCUGGGUUCAGUCCCCAGCUCCGGAAAAAAAAGAACCAAAAAAAAAAAAAAAAGACCCACGUAGACACAGCCAGGAUUGUUCAUUGAAUGGUGAGACAGCUGAAAGGCCACGGCUUUGAUUCCGGAAGUUACCUGGAUAUACCUUUACCGUUGGGGCCGUAAAGAACCCUGUGUUUUCUUAUGCUUUCGGCGUUAAAGAAAAAAAAAAUCUGGCAUGAAAGAGGAGAAAAUUAUGAACCCACCCAAUGUUUUGAUCAACGCCCAAGGUUUGGUCUCUCCAGACAAGUUAUACAUGCGAAAUAUGACAGCACCCGAUAUGCCACGUGAUAAAAGUGAAAUUCAGGGGUUGGGGAUUUAGCUCAGUGGUAGAGCGCUUGCCUAGGAAGCGCAAGGCCCUGGGUUCGGUCCCCAGCUCCGAAAAAGAAAAAAAAAAAAAAAAAAGUGAAAUUCAUCCUGAGGCCUCAACCCAAUGUGUGAGAAAAGAAUCUUCCAAGAGUGCACAGAAUCUAACGGUCAGCAACUCCUGCAGAUGCUAAAGAACCAGGCCUUGAGGCUUCAUCCCUACAUGCUGCAGGGGAUGACCCACUACCGGAAGAACUGACACCAGAUUCCAUGAACUAGGCCACUGCAGGGUGGAAGCAUCUAAGCGAGGUGUCCUUUGCACCUUUAGGGUGGUUUCGGUGGAAUAACAGCCAACAGUAUUGACCGGGAAACCAUCCAUCUACAGGGCGUGUGGUUGCUACAGACCAGCACAGAAAUUACCAUGUUCUUCAGAAUGUAAAUGACAGCGGUUGGUCAUUAAAGGCUACAGUCUCAGGAAGGCAAAUCGAAGAUGCAGUUCCUUUAACAAUCAGUUCUGCUGGUAAGGGGAUUUGAAAGGGAAAUCUUUACACUUCCUCCAUGGCUUUUAAAUAUAUCAGGGAUGCUUCGGGGGAUGCCACUUCCCACCAGCCAAAUUUAAACUA